GGUCGGAUAGCUGAGACACGAUUAGCGCGGGUCUGAAGAGCCCGAGAGGUUGGUGCGAUACCAACUCCGACCACCA
rnacentral:tRNA from 1 species